CCCCACGCCGCAUUAUCAUCCUUUUGCAGCGCACUCAUCCUUUUCCUCUUCUCCGCCCUUUCUCUCUUGGCGACACUAACACCUUUCAUCUUCUUCUCCCCGUCAAAUGGCAAGUUCUCCUUACAGGGCCGCAUGUUUGGCGACAUCAUUAACCGGCUUGGCUAGAGCAGGACAUGUAUUGUAUGCACAACUUUGCCGGCGUGUGGAAUCCAUAUCGUCAUAGCGGAGUCCACUGGAUUGGCCGCAAUUGCACGGAUGGUGAGGAAGAUGGAUCUGGAUGAAGUCAACACAAGGUUGAGAAUGGUUUCUCUUGGCACUAGCAAAUCAUUCCAAGUCAUAAUUAUCAAGAAAUAGUACAAGCCAAUAUGUUGGGUUCAGGAAGCAACACAACAGGGAAGAUAUAAGUAUGUUUUGUUUCUAACCCAGGUUGAGAAUGGUUUCUCUUGGCACUAGCAAAUCAUUCCAAGUCAUAAUUAUCAAGAAAUAGUACAAGCCAAUAUGUUGGGUUCAGGAAGCAACACAACAGGGAAGAUAUAAGUAUGUUUUGUUUCUAACCCAGGUUGAGAAUGGUUUCUCUUGGCACUAGCAAAUCAUUCCAAGUCAUAAUUAUCAAGGUAUGUUUUCACUAGCAAAUAAUUUUUUAUGUUACCAACACGUGUAUUUUGAGAGAAUAUGCAUGAUAACAAACUUUGAUUAUUUCUGGAUCGAAGUUUACUAUAUUUGUUACUCCCUCCGUUCACUGCUAUAAGAUGUUCUAACUUUUUCUAAAUUGCAUGUAUGUACAUAUGUUUUUGUAAACUAUUCAGAAAUUAUGUCAAAAAAUAAAUAAUACAAGACUUAUAUUUUCAUUAAUUCUUUGCAAUGGAUACAGAAAUAGUACAAGCCAAUAUGUUGGGUUCAGGAAGCAACAUAACAGGGAAUAUAUUAUUUUGGAGGACGAGCUCCGUGAAGCUCUUUUUUAAAAAAAUUUGAAAAACACAUUUAAAGUUUCAAAAUAAUAUGGAAGAAAUUUUACACAUUCAUAUUGAUAUAUUUUGCAUGUGCAUAAAGUCUGACGAUAAAUACAUUGCAGUGAGAGCUACAGAAAAUGACAAAUUCGUGCAUUUUAAAUAGUGAACAGUGCAUAUAUUGUUCACCAUUUAAAAAAUUACAAUUUUGUUUAUUAGCGUAGCUUUCACCAUAAUGUUUAUAUCAUCUUUAAAUUUUACACACAUAUAGAACACAUCCGUAUGAACGUGUGUGGUUUUUUCACAAUUUUUUGAAUCUUUUAGAAUGUGAUUUCUGAAUUAUGAAAAAAGAGUUCCAUGGAGCUCGUCCUCCACUUAGCAUUUUCGCACAACGGGAGAGCGCAAAAAAGGGAAAGCAGAGUAUAUGCUUCAUCCAGAUAUGUAGGUCUGUAAGUGGAUAUGAGACCACCUUCUACGUGCACAAUGCAUAUGACUAAGACGAGACAAAAAAAUAAUUCAAAAUGGCAAGUCAUGCACGUCCAUGCAUGCAUCUGAAGAAUGAAUGGACUCAAUUGAACUUGGGCUGGUUUUGGAUCCGACGGGGUCUUCUUCUCAUUUGGGGCACUCUUGCGGCCUGAACCCCCUAUGCAUUCCAUUCCGGCGGUGAACCCUGUAGCCGGCGGCAUCAUGUCCGUUCCCAUGGCGGUGCAUCAUAAUCAUCGUCUGCCGCUGUUACAUCGUCUCCAUUCCGGCACUGAACAUCGGCGGUGGUGGCAUCACCCUCAUCAUCAUCUGUUGCUGAAUCAUCUCGUUCAUCUAUCCGUUUGCGCUGGUGUCACCGAACUCAAAGCCCUUCCCUACGAUGGCAUCAUCAUCACCACCUAUUGUUGAUGAAUCAUCUCCUCCAUCCUGCCGUUUGUCUGGUGCCAUCGAAUGUGAAUGGCGGAAUGGAGAUGAUUCAUUAGCAGCACAUGAUGAUGACGGUGCCAUCGUUCUCGGGGCUUGCCGCGGGCGGUAGACUUGAACUUGGUGGCACUAGCGCCAAUGGUGGGAUGGAGGAGAUGAUUCAUCCACAGUAGAUGAUGACGGCGAUGCCACCGUUGCCAAUGUUCGCAGGUGGCGACGGGUCUGAGCUAUGUGGGGUGAUUCAUCAGCAGCAGAUGAUUGGGCCUAAAAAACCAAGGACCGAAAACCAUACUGAAUAAAACCGAAUUCACCGAAAUCGAAUACUUCAGUCAAAACUUUGGUUGGCAAUCCUGAGAGACCGUCAGACCGAAGUUUUUUGGUAAUUUUAGGUUGUAUGCGUCUGGUACCCGAAGUCUCGAAUACACCGAAGUACUAGUACUGCUUUUGAUUGAGCGGUGGGAAGGGGGAGCUCCUAUGCCGCACUGCAGGCGUCCGUUAACGGUCCGACGCCUGCAACCCUGCUAGCAUGGACCGAUCCUCUAGAGUGUUGUCUAGUUUUUUUUGUUUUUUUAUGGAAAUAAAAAUAUAAAAUCAAAAAAGGUUUAGAGAUUUAAA